rnacentral:lncRNA from 1 species
GUGCCAAUCACUCCUAUUCUCUGCCUUGUUCUUUAGACCUCCAUCUUAUCUGUGUCUUCUCCCCUUCUCUUCUUCUAUAAGGACACUUGUCAUUGGAGUUAGGGCCCAUACUAAUCCAGGAUGAUUUCAUCUUAAGAUCCUCAACUUAAUUACAUCUGCAAAAACCUUUUUUCCAAAUAAGGUUCACAUUCACAUGUUGUAGUUGGACCUAUCUUUCAGGGGAUAACCAUGCAACCUACUCUCAGGGCUGAGGCAAGAUUAAAGCUAAAAAAACAAUGUGCAAUUCUAAUGAGGCAGUAAUCUAAAUAUGACUAGAGCAGGAUUUUUGCAGGAAAAAAAGGCAAAUGGUCUUCGUUUUGUGUUGUUUCAUCUUGUUUUAGUUGAGUAUGAAGUCACAACUCUUUUUUUUUCUAAUACACAAAGAAAGGAGGUACCCACUUAUUUAAUUAAUUCUGAUGAAUCAGUAUCAGAGUCCUUUUAGGGGAACCAAGUUUAGGUGGGGGGGUGGGGCGCUGAUAAUGGAAGUGGGUAGGUGAAGGAGGAAGCCUUACUAGGUAUUCUAGGCAUGACACCAAGCUCUCCUGGGCAUGUCAGGUCCAUCAGCUCUGGACUAUGUUGCUUUCCCUGCCCUUAGGUUUCCAAUCUGAGUUUGCAAAGGCCUUCUCCAAAACUCAAGCUCAUCUCUGAAUCGCAGGGUACCCAACUAGCAACCUGUACCUGACUAGAUGUUGACCUCUUGUAUAAUCCCUUGAUUUAAAGUGCUUGAUACUGAACUACAUCCCUACUGGGAUGAACCCAUCAUAGCGGCUCAAGGUGAGAGACCUAAUCACUUUCCCCGACCAUCAAAUCCCAAACCUCAUGUUUUCUCUUCGAUCUGUAGAUGCAAUAGAUUGUACCAAAUUCAACAGAUGCUUGCAUGUUGUCCAGAACCUCUUCCUUUACACACUUCCUUGCAAUUUGAUGUGGAGGAAAUAGCCAACCUUGGCUGAGAGCUUGGGAGACAUUACAAGGCACAUGAGGCAGAAAGAAGCACUGCCAAGAUUUCACUUCUGUUUGUGCUGGUCUCUACUGUGGUUUACAAUGAAAAGAACAAUUUUAAGAAGAACAAAUUCAUCAAACCCUGGGGCUCUGAAGCAACAGUGUUCCUGGUCUUGCCAGAACCUGGCCCUAGAACCACCUUCUUUAGAAAAUAUGGAAGAAUCCCAAGUCUCUUGAUGCUCAGGAAAAACCAACCGUAAUACACAUUGUCUGCACAUGGGAAUCUUGUCUCCCUUCCUUUUUUGCAUACCCGAACCCCAUCUACCUUUCAAGGCUCAGCUAAAUCUCUGCAUCCUCCAUGAAUUCCUCCUUAGUUAAAGGUCUUAUUGCCAAUAUCAUAAUCUAUAUCACUUAAUUAUUUUUAUUCUAUUCUUUGUGGCU